rnacentral:rRNA from 1 species
AACGAACGCUGGCGGCAGGCUUAACACAUGCAAGUCGAACGCCCCGCAAGGGGAGUGGCAGACGGGUGAGUAACGCGUGGGAAUCUACCCAUCCCUACGGAACAACUCCGGGAAACUGGAGCUAAUACCGUAUACGCCCUUUGGGGGAAAGAUUUAUCGGGGAUGGAUGAGCCCGCGUUGGAUUAGCUAGUUGGUGGGGUAAAGGCCUACCAAGGCGACGAUCCAUAGCUGGUCUGAGAGGAUGAUCAGCCACAUUGGGACUGAGACACGGCCCAAACUCCUACGGGAGGCAGCAGUGGGGAAUAUUGGACAAUGGGCGCAAGCCUGAUCCAGCCAUGCCGCGUGAGUGAUGAAGGCCUUAGGGUAGUAAAGCUCUUUCACCGAUGAAGAUAAUGACGGUAGUCGGAGAAGAAGCCCCGGCUAACUUCGUGCCAGCCGCCGCGGUAAUAC